GUGGGUUUGUAAGUCGGGCGUGAAAUCCCUCGGCUUAACCGAGGAACUGCGUCCGAAACUGCAUGGCUUGAGGACGGAAGGGGAAGGUGGAAUUCCUGGUGGAGCGGUGAAAUGCGUAGAUAUCAGGAGGAACGCCGGUGGCGAAAGCGGCCUUCUGGUCCGUUUCUGACGCUGAGGUGCGAAAGCUAGGGGAGCAAACAGGAUUAGAUACCCUGGUAGUCCUAGCCGUAAACGAUGGGCACUAAGUAGAGGGG
rnacentral:rRNA from 2 species